GAUGAACGCUGGCGGCGUGCCUAAUACUUGCAAGUCGAGCGAACGUACGAGAAGCUUGCUUCUCUGAUUUUAACGGCGGACGGGUGAGUAACACGUGGAUAACCUACCUAUAAGACUGGGAUAACUUCGGGAAACCGGAGCUAAUACCGGAUAAUAUUUUGAACCGCAUUGUUCAAAAUUUAAAGACGGUCUUGCUGUCACUUAUAGCUGCAUCCGCGCUGCAUUAGCUAGUUGGUAAGGUAACGGCUUACCAAGGCUACGAUGUAUAGCCGACCUGAGAGGGUGAUCCACCACACUGGAACUGAGAAACGGUACAGACACCUACAAGAGGAAGCGGUAGGGAAUCUUAAGCAAUGGGCGAAAGGCUAAUGGAGCAACACCGCGUGAGUAAUGAAGGAGUGCGGAGCGAAAAACUCUGUUAGUAAGAAAGAACAUAUGUGGAAGUAACUGGGCAGAUCAUGACGGUACCGAAAGAGAAAGCCACGGCUAACUAAGUG
rnacentral:rRNA from 1 species